CCCCAUGACAUUGUUGUAAAUUGGCCAGUAGGAGACAGAGAAUGUAUUUGCGUGUGAGUGAGUGAGUCAGGGUGUGUGUGUGUGUGUGUGUGUGUGUGUGUGUGUGUGUGUGUGUGUGUGUGUGUGUGUGUGUGUGGGAGGAGUGGUAAUCUUUGAAGUCGUUGUUGAAAUUCAUCUGGGGUAAAAGCUGCAGGGACUUAUCGUCAAGAAGAAGACUAUCUUAGCUGGACAAUCUGGUCAACAUUGCUCCAUAUUUGAGAAUGUGCUGGUUAUCAGAACUUAACACUGAUCACUGAACACUGCUGAAGAUUCAAUGGAAUAAAAAAAAAAAUGUUCUCAUUGUAAAUUCGACUAAAAACAGCUGAAUACAAUAAGGGCACCCAUAUAAAAACGCUAAUAAUCGUUUACAAGUCAAAUACAAAUCGCUUAUUAAUGUCAUCACCAUAAACUCUGUAAAUCAAUAAUGAGCACUUCAAAUUGAUGUGCAACUAGCUUCAUUUUUUUAACAAGUUCAAGCAAUUAACUGUUACUCUUCACUAGGCUUGACGAGGGUUUUUGAUCAGCAAUCAGUGAUUAGGAGGUUUUAAAAAAAAAAAAAAGAACCCCGAUCACUGAUUCCAUCAGAAAAUGGAGCAAUAUAGCUGUUUCAACAACUUGUAUCUUUACUCUACAGUCGAUCCUCAACAUUGUGAAAAUGAAUUGGAAAAAAUCAUUUCAACCUCCCCAAGCUUGAUUCAAAAAGCAUUGAUAGACGUUAAAUAUAACAUGUACCGUUUACAUGUUUAAAAUUUCUCCUUCUCUGCCGCGUGUGUCACGUUGUGUUGAAGUAGCAAAUUCUCAAAACUGUUUGGCUUCGGUUUAGCUGCACAGAUCUAUCUACGCAAACCAUCCUCACUUGAUAUGUAAUCUCGUUACAAUUGCUCAACUCACGUUCGGCAUGACCGCCGUGUAUCUCGUCUCUCAACAAGGGAGCUAUUGCCGUGUUUGUUUAAGCCACACACCUCUGUUAAGUAUCAGAAUCUAAGGUUCAUAAUGACGAUAGAAUUUUGACAUUUCAUAGAGCUGCUACCGCUCCAGCAAAACGGCAAAUAUUUACGGUGGGCUCACUAUUUGGCAAGGUGAGAUCAAGUACAUCUCUCAUUUUUCAGUUGCUCUGCUACUUUACUAAGUAUUUAUGAAGUAGUAAUAAAGUGAUACCCAUUUUGGAAUAAACCUUUGUAAGAGUAAUCUCAUCAUAGUCGUAAAUGGUCCCCAAAACUGUAACACCCUCAUACCUGUUUGGAAUAUUACUCUUCUCUUUAAAUAAAAAGCUCAAAUGUGUGUAUUUG